ensembl:lncRNA
GGGUUGAGAAGAAAUUUUCUAUUGCGACUUUCUAACAUACAUUGAGCAUUAUAAUGUGAACAUUUUCAUUGCCUUACAACAAAGAUACCUGAGUCUUUGAAAGUGUUUUGGAAAUACACCUGAAGAUAUUGGAAGAGUCCAGGACCUAGAUCGGAAUCAUAUUUCCUCUGUGGGACAGGCACUGGAGCUCAGGGAAGGGGCUCUUCUGACGCAGGUUUGGAGCCCACAUCUCCUACAUCUCCUGCAUUGGCAAGUGGAUUUUUUACUACUGAGUCACCUGGGAAUCCCAAUAAUAUCCAGAGUGCUCCUCAAAGUGCUUGGCAUUGAGGACGUGUGCUAAGUCACUUCAGUUAUGUCUGACUUUUUGUGACUCUAUGGCCUGUAACCCACCAGGAUCCUCUGUCCAUGGAAUUUUCUAGGGAGGAAUAGUGGAAUCAGUUACCAUGCCUCCUCCACAGGAUCUUCCUGACCCAGGGAUCGAACCCGCAUUUCUUAGGUCACUUGCAUUUGGACAGGUGGAUUCUUUAUCACUAGCGCCACCUGGCAUAUAGUAAAUUGUGCAUAAUGUUAAGUACUAACAUCACUUUUGAUUGAGGUAAUGAUUCUGUAAAGUCAGCAAAAGUACAUGGAUAUUCCAUUUAACACAUGAUCCGCAUAUCAUUCAAGCGCUCACUCCCAGCUAAUAUCUCUAUGAUCACGGGUUGUGUAAGCUCAGCACCCUUCUAACAAGGUGUUUGUGGUCUUCACGGCUUGCACUGCAUGGUUGCCUUGGCGCCUCACUCUACUCUUGAAGAGGACUCUCUCUCACUGAGUCACCCCUUCUCCCUCUGCAUCCCCUACUA